AUGAACGCUGGCGGCGUGCCUAAUACCUGCAAGUCGAGCGAACAGACGAGGAGCUUGCUCCUCUGACGUUAGCGGCGGACGGGUGAGUAACACGUGGAUAACCUACCUAUAAGACUGGGAUAACUUCGGGAAACCGGAGCUAAUACCGGAUAAUAUAUUGAACCGCAUGGUUCAAUAGUGAAAGACGGUUUUGCUGUCACUUAUAGAUGGAUCCGCGCCGCAUUAGCUAGUUGGUAAGGUAACGGCUUACCAAGGCAACGAUGCGUAGCCGACCUGAGGGGGUGAUCGGCCACACUGGAACUGAGACACGGUCCAGACUCCUACGGGAGGCAGCAGUAGGGAAUCUUCCGCAAUGGGCGAAAGCCUGACGGAGCAACGCCGCGUGAGUGAUGAAGGUCUUCGGAUCGUAAAACUCUGUUAUUAGGGAAGAACAAAUGUGUAAGUAACUAUGCACGUCUUGACGGUACCUAAUCAGAAAGCCACGGCUAACUACGUG
rnacentral:rRNA from 1 species